GGGGUUGUAGCUUAGUGGUAGAGUGCUUGCCUAACAUGCUGGGGCACUGAGUUCGAUCCUCAGUACCACA
rnacentral:tRNA from 1 species